rnacentral:rRNA from 1 species
GAGGAAGUAAAAGUCGUAACAAGGUUUCCGUAGGUGAACCUGCGGAAGGAUCAUUAUUGAAUGAACUUGACUUGGUUGCUGCUGGUCUUUUCGAAGGCAUGUGCACACCUCGUCAUCUUUAUAUCUCCACCUGUGCACCUUUUGUAGACCUGGAUCCAACUUUCCGAGGCAACUCGGUCGUGAGGAGUUGCUUUCACGAGCUCUCCUUGUUAGUUUCCAGGCCUAUGUUUUCAUAUACACCAUAAGAAUGUAACCGAACGUCAUUAUUAGGCUUUAAUGUCUUAUAAACUAUAUACAACUUUCAGCAACGGAUCUCUUGGCUCUCGCAUCGAUGAAGAACGCAGCGAAAUGCGAUAAGUAAUGUGAAUUGCAGAAUUCAGUGAAUCAUCGAAUCUUUGAACGCACCUUGCGCUCCUUGGUAUUCCGAGGAGCAUGCCUGUUUGAGUGUCAUUAAAUUCUCAACCUUUGUCAACUUUUUUGGUUGCCAAAUGGCUUGGAUGUGGGGGUAUGCAGGUUUCUCUUUGAAAUCAGCUCCUCUGAAAUAUAUUAGCUGGUUGCCUUGUGUAAACCUGUCUAUUGGUGUGAUAAUUAUCUACGCCGUGGACUGUUUUCCGUUUUUAGCACUGCUUCUAACCGUCUGUUCAUUCGGACAAUAUAUGACAAUUUGACCUCAAAUCAGGUAGGACUACCCGCUGAACUUAAGCAUAUCAAUAAGCCGGA